rnacentral:lncRNA from 10 species
UGAAAGCCAAUCACUAAGGUGGCAAGUAUUGCCAAGGAAGAAGGCUUUAAUCAGGUGCUGUAGCUGAGGAGAUGGGAGUUCAGUCUCAAAUCCAUCUCCCUGACUGAUUAAACCAGGAGUUUAUAUAGCAGUGCUUAAAACAAUACUUCAAGAAAUGUUCAACAUUCCACGAGAACAAUAUCCACGUGAGAUGAAAAGAAAAGUCUAAGUUAGUUCCUGAUUCCUGGAAGCUGGGAAAGUCUCAUUCCAGUAACUACUUAAUACCCCCUGUCAGUCUCCUUCAAAGGCUGAAGCCAGCCUCUGACUGAAGCGCAGCCGCAAUGUUUCCUGUCUGGUGCCAGCACAGCUUGCCUGGACUUCUGAAAAUUGCAAGCGCUUGCUCCUUGCUAGUCACCACACUCCCCCUUUCUUAGUUGCAGACUCCCUCUUGCUGUGGUUUACCAGGUGCCCUUAUUGCCCCUCAUGCUUGUGUGCCACUUUGGACUUAAUCUGGCACACUUAACUCCCUUCAUCUACGCCUGAAGCUGGACAAGCUGAAGUGACUGCGUCACUUUCUCAAUUCUGGCUCCUGCCCACCGACCUUGCUCUGCUAGGAGGAAUUAGCUCUGCCUGGCCAGAACCCAAGAAGUGACAAAUCAAACUCGCUCAAUAGGUGGUAAUUAAACUUCUGGCUCUAAAGCCCAGAAUAGGUUGUCAAUGGGAUUUCACAGUGGCUCCCUGACACUAAGCAAGGAUGUAUUUCUACAUCUAGUUUUAAAUCUUAAACUCUAAUAGGAUUCUCAGAAAAGACAGUAAAGACUAAGGCCAAAAAAAGUUGUUUAAAGGGGAAAAUGACAGUAAGUACAAAAGAUAAUCUGGGGAAGACCUGGCAAUUCUGAAAUCAAAACAUCUGUUACUAAGUGGAUCAUGACUGCUUAGUUUCUAGGUGAGCUGAAUAAAAAUACUAACUGAACAAUGAUGUAGGUCGUUGUCAAAUCUAAUCAAUUUCUUGUUUGUUUGUUUGUUUUUUUCCAUCAGUCUAGAAUCUUUAAGUAAGCCAUUCAGAAGAUGUGAUACUAUAGAAUGAUACCAACUGAGGAAUAGAGUGGAGAGGAAGGGCUGAAGAUGACUUCAGAAAAAGGCCUGAGGCGUGACAAAUGUUGAUCUCACUCACUGAUCUAUGCUGUAUUUCUUUUAAGAAUGUAUUAAUAUAAAUGUCCUUUUCUUCCCACAUCCAAUCCCUAUUACUACACCAAAUACUUGUUCCUCUAGGAAAUGUGAAGUUGAAAAAAAUUUCCCCCAUUAAAUGAGAAUUAUUCUGCUUAUGACAUUAGGAUAUAUGCUCUCGCUUUAAAAAUAGGAGGCUGUUGAAUUCAUCAUUUGAGUAUAUUAAAUAGACUGUGGAAGAGUAUUAUCCUCCUGGAAACCUCUUAUCCCUCACUCUUAUACCACGAGGGAUUGCCAGUUAGGUCUAAUGACCAAUAAUAUCCACAGCCAUAGGUAAUCAGAAGAGUUUCUGGUUUCUCUAAAGUGGAAAAUAAAUUGCUGCCAAGGCAAACCAAAUAGCAUAGAGUUUUGUAUGAUCUGCCUCUAAUGCUUCUCUGUGUAAACAUGCUAACUAAUGACAUCUGGAGAACAAGCUAUGUCAUGCAGCUUCCUCAGUGAUAACUUUUUAAACACCUGGUUAGAGAUCUUUAUCCAAGGGUGUAACUGAGUUACCGCACUCCUCAGCCCUAAGCCACCUUGUCAGUUUACCCCAGUGUGCCAUACAAAUAUUACUUUCUAUACAUGCCAUGAUAUGGAAAAGGUUCGGAAGGCCUGAAUUAAUAUUUAUCAAAUAUCUUACUUUGGCAAAGCCCAUAUUUUCAUAUGGUGUCUUUGAAGAAUAAAAACAUGUUUGAGCUGGAAAGAUCCCAGAUAACUUUUUCCCAAAUGGGACUCCUUCAAGUGUAAGUUCCAUAGAAUAUUAAAUGUUAAAUUAAUUGGGAGAAGGAAUUUGAGAAAUACUGGGUUAAAGUUUAAAAGUUUUUUUUUUUAAGUGCAGGAUGUCUAAGACAUUUGGAUAUGCUGAAUGCAGUGUCAUUCUCUAGCAGGAGGGUGUAAUACAAAUUAGUAUUUAUUUAAAGAUGGAGCUUUUAGAAUAUAGUUUGUUUUGUUUUUGUUUUUGUUUUUGUU